rnacentral:rRNA from 1 species
UACGUAGGGUGCAAGCGUUAAUCGGACUUACUGGGCGUAAAGCGUGCGCAGGCGGCUUUGCAAGACAGAUGUGAAAUCCCCGGGCUUAACCUGGGAACUGCAUUUGUGACUGCAUGGCUGGAGUGCGGCUGAGGGGGAUGGAAUUCCGCGUGUAGCAGUGAAAUGCGUAGAUAUGCGGAGGAACACCGAUGGCGAAGGCAAUCCCCUGGGCCUGCACUGACGCUCAUGCACGAAAGCGUGGGGAGCAAACAGG